CCCAAUUGCUCACACAUACCUUGAAAGGUACACAGAUAGUGUGACAUUUUAUGUAAAAAAACGAAUUGGGUGCAAAUGGACAAGUGAACUGCUGUCAUAAACCUAGAUCAGUCAGCCCCCAUUUUUUUUCAUGUUAGGCAUUUCUGGUUUUGAUUCCACAACCAGUGCGACCGAGAUGGAGGUAUGAUUUUGUCAUCGUUGCAUUAUGGGGAACAAUAGCCUCUUGCGCAGCGAUCCCACACAAUUGCAGCAUCAGAGCCUUGAUAGAAGAUCUGGAAUUGAUCUGUGUUACACAGAACCCGACGAAGAGGCAACAAGUGCACAAUCAGCAUCAAGGGAGGACGGGAGUCCCUACCGUUGGAACCCCCAAUCGCCGAACUCGCAACCACCCCCAACCCCCGGAGGACUGUACAGUACUUGAAUUUAGCCUGCACAUACAGUAGAAUCCCACGUGAAAGGAGAGGUGCGGAAAUUAAAGGAUUGCAGGUCCUCUCCAUACGGGGGUAGGUGUGUGUGUAUAGGUGUCUAAAAAGAAGGGGGCUGCAGAGAGCCUUUUAGCCCAUUUAGAGUUGACAGUGUACGCGUGGCAGUGUUUAUUAGAAACCAACACAGAGAGCCCAGCCCAGCCCCAGGCAGCAGAGAGAUGGCAGUGUGCAGGAAAACAGCGACUCCUCCCCUCCUCCUCCCCCCGGCCUGCAGCAGUAACCCUCACACCGACAUGCGAAGAAGAAGGACAAAAAGAAAAAUACAGAAGAAGAGGAGCGCUCAGAUGUACCUAUUGUUCGGACUUUUUCUGCUUAUUGUUGAGCUUUUUGUCUUCUUCCCGGAGUAGUCGCUACUGUACGGUAAAACCGAGGCAUAUCCGUGUUCUGCCUCUGUUGACACAAACAAAUACAAGCGUGCAUUUUUUUUUUUUGCAAAAGUGAUGCAGAAUAGAGUAAAUACGUGAGCUGUCAAUGAGUCGUGAUAUUGUUUUACUGAAACACAAACACACGCACACACAAAUGCCCCGUCAUUUUUGCAUCUGUCAUGAUGUUACAAGCUGAUGUCACUGUUGUUUACCCACUUCUCCAAAAUAAUAGAACUCUGGAACACAUAAUACCCGGAGUUUCUGAGAAUAGAGGGGGAAAUGCUUAUAUCUAUCAAGUACAUGUCCAUUUAAAAAAAGCAACAACAACAAAACUACACAGUUGGCACCCAUCGUUUGCUUCACACCCUAUUGUCCAUACACAGUGACAUCAUACUUGUACCACCACAUGUCAUCUCAAACUUCAUUUUAGUGCCGAGCAUUAGCCGCUACACAAGUCAGCACUUAGUCCGGGUUGCAGUUAAAACGUGAAUAAUUGCUGUCAUCGCUUCAAUUUGGCUUCAAAUACCUCUGUCUCUUCUUUCCAAGUACUCUGCAGCCUCCAGCAGAAUUAGAAGCGAGUUAAGUUCCAUCUUGUUUUUGUCUCAAAACCAAAUAGGAGACAGUAAAUACACAAGUUUACAUAAAGUGUUGGAAUGGAAA